AGAGAGAGAGAGAGAGAGAGAGAGAGAGAGAGAGAGAGAGAGAGAGAGAGAGAGAGAGACGCUUUCCUGGCUAUAUCCUGCACAGCAUACCGCCGCUGCAUCGCGCUCCCUGGAGUUAGGGGCGCUGUUAUGAUGACUCAGAACAACAAUGGCCACCUUAGCAUACACAGACUGUACAAUUUACAGUCCACAGACGCCAGUGUCACCAUGCAACAUGGACAGUGUGCAUCUAAUAUCUACGGUGCUGGAACCUAAGUAAUACUUAUUCUGAGUUAUUAAUGAGAAUAGAGUCGCUAGGACUGAAAAUCAUUAGAAUAGUGGUCCUGGCAAUUAUUCAGGCGACGAUUACCAUUGCAACUUCCAGGACAGCCCCCCCCCACCCCCCACCCCUUUCGGUGAUGACUGCAUUCACGAUGCCCCCCCUACAAUACCUAGUUACACUAUACCUCGCUGCUACAGUAAUACACUACCGCUACACAACACUAUCACUUUGCACCUUGCUCCCGACCGCAGCUCGCAGCUCUGAAUGACUAGAAUCGUGAGUCACUCUUUCCCUUCCCACCAGGGUUGCCAGGUUUGGCAUAAUUAUGCCAAUUUGGUAUAUUCCAGGCCUGGUUGGUGUACUGGAAAUUUAGUUUUAUGCCUAACCUCAUUUGGCAUAAUUUUUGGUAUAUUCAGAGGUGUUUUUAAUAUUAUUUUAUUUAUAUUCAUAAUAAGGUGCUGGAAGUCAAAGAUGUUGACCAGAUUCUAUAAUAUAUCUAGUGAAUAAAACAUCAGAAAAAAGCAUUAUACACAUCAGCUAAGGGUACCGUUCCUCUUGGUACCGUUUCAGGACCUAACGUUCCUGAUCACCGCAGAACGCGUAUUGUUCAUGUUCGGUUACUAGUCUGCGGGUCUGUGCGGGAAAGGAGAAAGUGGCCUCCGCUGCCCAGCAGUGCCCAGGAUUGUACGCUACUUUACGAGGACUUACGCUAUCCCAGCUGUGUUAUUGUGUCUGACAAGUGGACUUAAGUAUCAGAGUGUGCUAGGAUCCGUUCUUGACCCGCAGUAAAGGCUACGAGUCGCAAAAACUUGGAAGUGUUUGUGGCGUGUUCCUCGGAGGCAUCGACGAAUAUGGCGGAAACGCUGCGGCAUCACAUUUUUAUGUGCUUAUAAAGACCCUGAGAAGACAUUUUAACAUGAUUUUAGGAGUAAAUUAAGCCGUUCGUGUGGCAUCAAAGAAAGGAACCAGAAAUCUUUAAAAUGUGCUAAUAGGAGUCGGUUUCUGAGUCAAAGAACUCCUCUGCAUCCUUGUAAUCUACUGCUGCACACAUUAGUUACAGGGGCGUCUGUGAUGCGAUGGUGUGGAAUGUGGAGGGAGUGGACAGUGCUUGAUUGGAAACAAGAUAUGAAAGACCAAAAUUGUGUUUUAACUAAGCUAGAGUGAGGGAGGCCACUGUGAGGGACGCGCAAGUUUGACGCGAAAACGGGUCCCAUGUAAGGGGUCUUGGCUUGUAACUCCCAAGAAAAGGCUAAGAUAAUAUGCAUUUGAAAGAUGUGCAAGUCUUAAAAGUGUUGAAAUAAUGCAACGUGUGCGUGUGUCUACCAUUCCAGUGCUUGAACAGUGCCAUACAGCGAAGGUGAUGUGAGGGUGAGUGGGAGGAUAAGAUGACGCGCUAAAUCCUUCUCGUGUCAGACUUCAUAACGCCGAAAAUAUAUAGAUACGCAUACGCUGAACUACCAUGUAAUUUAAAUUGAUACAUACUGUAUACUGAACAUACUUAAUUACAGAAAUAGAGCAAAGAGUGUAUUGAAAAGUUAGUAUGAUUGAUGGGUUUUUGGUUUAAACCAGGGGUGUCAAACCCAUGGCCUGCGGGAUAGUCAUAAAUGGCCCGCGGUAUCACGGUAACUUCAAUCUUGUCAAUGUAUUUUCUACCAUUGUUGGCCCCCAUGACGGCACUUCAGAGUAUGAAUUGGCCCUCGAAGGGUUUUGAGUUUGACACCCCUGGUUUAAACCGCCAACCCUGCUGUACAUAAUUAAAAUCUUACAUAUAGUUAGAACCACGAUACUGAUGAAACUAACAAAGAUACACACAAAAGAAGAAAAAAUUGGUUUUAUUAGUUGGUUUAAACCAGUUUUUUUUAUUGGUUUAAACCAUGGUUCAAACCAUUUGGUUUAAACUGCCAACCCUGACAGUAACCCAUGUUUUUACUUGAUUAUUGCAUACACAAUGUGCUGUACUCAUUAUGUUCUCCAUACCUGCUGCUACUAUCUAAUCUAUUUAAUAUAUGGAUAUUUUGUUCACACACCACCUCUAACUCUAGACCAUUCCAAAGGGCUAUACAUCUAUGGGGAAUUAUUGCUUAAUAUUCUCUAUAUAUAUUACAUCUAAGUAAUACCCAGUCAUCCUUCCUUUUUCUUUGAUAUUCUAUCUGUAAUUGAGUCUACAUCACUGCAGACAUGUUAGCCUUGAAUAUUACCUCUUUCCUAUGUUGUUAGUCUUUUUUAUCAACCUUUCCUUGUAAGACCUCAAACUUGUCGUUCUACUCCAUUACUACAAUUAAUGCCUUUUUAGAAGUUACCAAAGCACAGCUCCAUAUUCCACUCUGAAACAUCAACACUGAUACAGCUGACGGCCAUUAUCCAUAUUUUUACUGGCCACACUUAAAUUGGUUCCCAGUCCAUGUCUGAACUUACUUACAUUUCUCUAACUGCAUCCACUGAAUGGCAGAUUUUCUAUGUAUUAUGAUUGAAAUCCAGAAAUGUUUGUUUUGAAGCCACUGAUGGUUAAAAAAUUACUUAAAGGUAAUAAGCAUACCAUCCAUGCACUCACGAUCACACAUCAAAAAUAUUCUGCAACUGUGCACACAAUCUGGUAGACAUUCAAUGAGUCACAAUUAAUGACAGGAAAUGCAGGUAUAUUGAAAAAUUGAGUCUACAUUUUAACCAAGGAAUCCAAAAUUUGGAAAAUUUGAGACUGGGAUGUCCAUCUUGUGUGUGUAUUUAGGUAGUUGUGGUAUAUAGGAGAGGAGCUACACUCAUACUGUCCUGUCUCUAUAUCUACUAUUAUCAAACUUGGCCUUAAAAUCAAGAAUCGUCUUUUCACAAACCACAUCUUUUUCCAGGCCAUUCCAGGUAUCCACCAAUCUUAUGUCUCUUCUACAGGCUUCCUUUUCUAUCUUCCUUCCAUAACCUCUUGAUUCUCUUGUAUCCCACAUUAUUUGAUCUUCAUUUCCACUUUUUGUAUCUGUGUGUGUGUGUGUGUGUGUGUGUGUGUGUAAUGAAAAAUUCUUAAGUGUAUAGAGCAAAUAUGGGUUAUAUUUGAAAAAAACUAAGCAAUCUGAAGGUGCAGUGGCAAUAAAGAAUUAUGUAAAACAUGAUAAUUAAUAUUUAAAGAAAGCCCACAACAAUUACAAACUCAUUAGCUUAAAGACUGGAACAAGUAGACAAGCAGUGAGAACUGAGAAAUUAGGACAUGAACAUUGUAAAUAAAUCUACAUUUCCCACCAACAUUUGGAAUGGUCUUGAGCAGAGAUAAUGUGAGCAAGAAACAUAAAUGAACUGAAAGCAAUUUUGGAUAAAAGCAGAUAUGGGGAUGGAAAAACACAAAUGCAGCUCAAAUCCUGUAACCAAAAAUAAGAGUUAAGUGUGCUUUCACACACACACACACACACACACACACACACUCAAAUAUGAUGUAUGAAGACAGAUUGAAAGAGAUGGACUUGACGACACUGGAACAAAGAAGGGAGAGAGGAGAUCUAAUCAUGCUGUAUAAGUUGGUAAAUAAGUUUGAUGAGGUGGAUAGAGAUGAUUUCUUCUUAACUGCGAGAACGCAGGGGCUGAGAGGACAUAGGAACAAACUUAAUAAAGGAACCUGUUUGAGUGACUUGAAAUCUAAAAGUAUAGUUUUCCACAUAGAAGUGUUAACACAUGGAACAGCUUGCAGGAGGAGGUGGUGGAGGCAAACAGUGUCCAACAAAUGCAGGAAAGGCUGGAUAAAUGUAGAUAUGGAGACGGGACUAUCAGAGCUUAGCUCAGGCCCGGUAGACUACAAAUAGGUAAAUACACACACACACCACUCCGAUAGCUCACGGUUGAAGCGCUGCCCUGCCAGGCUUCACAGCGUGGCAGGCAGAGGUUCGAGCCCCACUCAGUCGGGUUUUAUCCGCUGAGUAGGAGUGGUUAGUGUUGCCCCUUGAGCAAGGGGGAGGGGGUGUGGUGUGUGAGGUCCCGGCAGUACAAUCCAGAGAAAAUGGUGAAAAGGAUUGUAUUUAUGGUGUGUCAAUGGAAAUAAAUCAAUAAUGUAACUUUGUUACUUGUAAAGGUGUAAACAGUAUGUGAAAUAAGAAUAUAAGGAUAUUGUUUUGAAACAAUGUGGAAGACAAUAGAAGAGAGGGUUUUUGAAGUUAACUGUAUGAUCAAAGUGGUUCAAAUGGAAAAGGUACUAUGAAAUAUUAUUAUAACCAUAAAAUGGAAGAAAGCAAACUGCUUAAAAAUCUAUUUAAAACAUUCUUUAGAUUAAAGGACCCUCAUUGGGAGGUGGCAGAGGUGACGGAGCAUCGGAAUUAUGUAUAGAGAUGAGAUUCAAGACACCCAAAGAACAGACAACUGCAAAACAAUAUGAAAGAAGGGUGAGUUAGGUGUGGUUUAGCACAAUAGGUAUGGUCUGGGAUAGAUAUGGCCUGGGACAUUCCUGCAACAAUGAACCUUUGUGGGGACAGUAGAGUGGAACACUUGACAUCAAGUAUGAUCAACUUCAAGCAACCCUUGAGGAAAUUUUUACAACUCCAGGCAUAACAUUAAAUGUCCAGAAGCAUACAGCUACAACCCAUAGUAGUAUUGGGAGCUUAGUAUUUAAUUAUGGGUGAAAUAAGAAAAAUGUUAGGAAAUAGCACGAAACACAAGGUUACCUGUGAUAUUCAGUCUAGUGAAUCAUUUUAGGAAAUACCUAAAUUACAGGAAGGUUAUGUAAACCAAGAUAUUUACAGUUAAGUUUCAGGUUAUGCAUUCAAUAGAUUUAUUUGAUCAACUAAAAAAAUCUGAUGACCAUUACAUUAUCAAUAUUUAUGCAGCUUGAAAUUGUCAUUUUGUAUAUACAUAUAUAUAAAUAUAUUUUUCUCAUUAUCAUUUUUCAUAUUUCAUAUUAUAUUCAUAAACCUUUAACUUGUUACUCAUGGGAAAAUUACCAUCUACAGUAUGUGGUGAAUGACUCCCUCAAAGCUGACAACCUAAAGAGUAUGAAGAGAAUGUUUAAAAAUGCAAGACUUUAGAUACUCUUACAUGGUUAGGGAGAUUACCUUGGCUUUGAUUUGGUGUGGAACAAGGAUGUCACUAGUACUGUGUGUGUGUGUGUGUGUGUGUGUGUGUGUAUGUGUGUGUGUGUUUACCUAGUUGUGAAAUACAGGAAAAGAGCCACACUAGGCUCGUGCUGUCCCGUCUCCAUAACACUUAUUAUCCAGUUUGGCUUUAAAUUCAUGAAUCGUUUUUGCACACACAGUCUCCUUGUCAAGUCCGUUCCAUGUUGUUAUGCUUCUGUAUGGAAAACUGUAUUUCUUGAUGUCUAACCUACAGUCGCUCUUCUUCAAUUUAUUACUACUCCCUCUUGUCACACUCCUGCCACGUACCACUAAAUCUUCCCUGUCCAAUUUCUCCAAUCCCUCUUGUAUCCUGUAUAAUGCUAUUAGUUCCCCUCUCUCUCUUUUUCUUUCCAGUGUUGUUAGUCUCAAUUUCUCCAGCCUUUCUUCAUAAGUAUGUUCUCUCAGAGUUUGCGGUAGUUUGGUCGCUGCUGUGUGUGUGUGUGUGUGUGUGUGUGUGCGUGUGUGCGUGCGUGCGUGUCUUGACCUAGGACUGAACAAAAAUUUCUGUCUUAGGUAUUUGUUAAAACAUUGCUAUAGCCAUAAUAUGAAAAUUUAUACGAAUAUGAAAAAUUAUCAUAUGGAUACAGAAUCUAUGGACCUAUAUUGUAAAUUUUACCAUAUACUAUCUUCAUAAAAUAAUGGUAAUGAGACUAGCACAGUAGUGUAUCAGAACAGGUGCCAAAGAGUGUAGAGUGUCAAGUAUAGUUGAGUUACCAGAACUAGCAAUGGAAGUCUGGCAAAUAUGGAUAUUAUGUUACCAUGUUAGAGGAUGCAUUUCGUUUGAACACACACACACACACACACACACACACACACACAAACCGCUCCAAUAGCUCGGUGGUUGAAGCUCUGUACUGCCAGGCUUUGCAGCCUGGCAGGCAGAUGUUUGAGCCUGGCUCAGGCCAGGAUAUUUCUGCUGACAAGGAGUGGUUACUGUUCCCCCUUGACCAAGGAGGAUGGGGUGUAUGGUGUGUUAAGGUCCCAACAGUACCCAGAGAUCAACUACUAUAAUGAGCCUUGCACUAAUUGGGAAAGUACUUGCUGGCAAUGAUGAGUCCAGCUUAUGAUCAGGCCUUGAUGAAUUACACACACACACACACACACACACACAUAAGGACUAGCUUUCACUUAGAUACAUCCUGAAAUAAAACUGGAAAUAUUGUCAGUUGUGAAUUACAUAACUGCAAACUUGCCAUAAUAAAAAAUGGUAAUAUAUAUAUAUUCACUUUAGGUUGUUUAUCAUGUAAGUGUUUCCAGGUUUGUCUCCAUAAUCAUGCAAAUCUGUAUUAGCAUCAAACAUGAAUCCUAAGCAUUACAUGCAGAUGACCUACCACUGUAUGAUGCUGCACCUGAACGGCUUCAUUUUACAUUCCGUUGCCAUGUAAUUAUUUUGAAGACCCUCUCUGGUGUAGCAGAUGUAUCAUGUCUCAGGAGUCCUUUGUGUCGGUGCCUUCUUAUGUGUUAUCUGUCUUGGCUGAAAGAGAAAAAAAAGGUAUAAACGGAAGUGGAGGAUAUCCUUAGACACUCAUUGUAUCAGUCAUGUAUGUAGUAAUUGUAUAUAUUUUUUGUCAAGUUGAAAACUCAUCAUAUAAAAAUAGUCAUUUAGAAACUCAAAGGAUGUGUUUUUCAUAACUGACUUUUCUUUAUGUAAUUAUUCAAAUGGAAGUAAAUUUUUUUUCAUAA